rnacentral:rRNA from 5 species
AGACCCGAAACCCGGUGAUCUAGCCAUGGGCAGGUUGAAGGUUGGGUAACACUAACUGGAGGACCGAACCGACUAAUGUUGAAAAAUUAGCGGAUGACCUGUGGCUGGGGGUGAAAGGCCAAUCAAACCGGGAGAUAGCUGGUUCUCCCCGAAAGCUAUUUAGGUAGCGCCUCGUGAAUUCAUCUCCGGGGGUAGAGCACUGUUUCGGCUAGGGGGCCAUCCCGGCUUACCAACCCGAUGCAAACUGCGAAUACCGGAGAAUGUUAUCACGGGAGACACACGGCGGGUGCUAACGUCCGUCGUGAAGAGGGAAACAACCCAGACCGCCAGCUAAGGUCCCAAAGUCAUGGUUAAGUGGGAAACGAUGUGGGAAGGCCCAGACAGCCAGGAUGUUGGCUUAGAAGCAGCCAUCAUUUAAAGAAAGCGUAAUAGCUCACUGGUCGAGUCGGCCUGCGCGGAAGAUGUAACGGGGCUAAACCAUGCACCGAAGCUGCGGCAGCGAACGUAUCACCCAAGACAACUUUACGGAGUUGACGAUUGACGGAGCGAAGCGACGUCAAAGCGUUCAUUAAAGUCGAGUUGGCUUAGGGAUACGUUCGUUGGGUAGGGGAGCGUUCUGUAAGCCUGUGAAGGUGUGUCGUGAGGCAUGCUGGAGGUAUCAGAAGUGCGAAUGCUGACAUAAGUAACGAUAAAGCGGGUGAAAAGCCCGCUCGCCGGAAGACCAAGGGUUCCUGUCCAACGUUAAUCGGGGCAGGGUGAGUCGACCCCUAAGGCGAGGCCGAAAGGCGUAGUCGAUGGGAAACGGGUUAAUAUUCCCGUACUUGGUGUUACUGCGAAGGGGGGACGGAG